rnacentral:misc_RNA from 1 species
GAAAUGCGAUACUUGGUGUGAAUUGCAGAAUCCCGUGAACCAUCGAAUCUUUGAACGCACAUUGCGCCCGCCAGUACUCUGGCGGGCAUGCCUGUUCGAGCGUCAUUACAUCCCUCAAGCCCCUGCGGCUUGGUGUUGGGCCUCGGCCGUCCCUCAAGCGGCGGCCGUGCCCCAAAUACAGUGGCGGUCUCGCCCCCGGCUCCUCUGCGUAGUAGUAACAUCUCGCACUGGGACGGAGCGUAGGCCACGCCGUAAAACAACCCAACUUUCUGAAUGUUGACCUCGGAUCAGGUAGGAAUACCCGCUGAACUUAA